rnacentral:rRNA from 1 species
CCUACGGGGGGCAGCAGUGGGGAAUAUUGGACAAUGGGCGAAAGCCUGAUCCAGCCAUGCCGCGUGUGUGAAGAAGGCCUUCGGGUUGUAAAGCACUUUCAGUGGGGAAGAAAGCCUUGGGGCUAAUACCCUCGAGGAAGGACAUCACCCACAGAAGAAGCACCGGCUAACUCCGUGCCAGCAGCCGCGGUAAUACGGAGGGUGCGAGCGUUAAUCGGAAUUACUGGGCGUAAAGCGCGCGUAGGCGGUCUGAUAAGCCGGUUGUGAAAGCCCCGGGCUCAACCUGGGAACGACAUCCGGAACUGUCAGGCUAGAGUGCAGGAGAGGAAGGUAGAAUUCCCGGUGUAGCGGUGAAAUGCGUAGAGAUCGGGAGGAAUACCAGUGGCGAAGGCGGCCUUCUGGACUGACACUGACGCUGAGGUGCGAAAGCGUGGGUAGCAAACAGGAUUAGAUACCCGGGUAGUC